rnacentral:rRNA from 1 species
GAUGAACGCUAGCGGCAGGCUUAACACAUGCAAGUCGAGGGGCAGCGUGGAGCAGCAAUGCUCUGACGGCGACCGGCGGAAGGGUGCGUAACACGUGAGCGACUUGCCCGUCACAGGGGGAUAACCGGCGGAAACGGCGACUAAUACCCCAUACGAUGUGAUGCUGCAUGGCAUUGCAUUGAAAGAUUCAUCGGUGGCGGAUAGGCUCGCGGGACAUUAGCUAGACGGCGGGGCAACGGCCCACCGUGGCGACGAUGUCUAGGGGUUCUGAGAGGAAGGCCCCCCACACUGGGACUGAGACACGGCCCAGACUCCUACGGGAGGCAGCAGUGAGGAAUAUUGGGUCAAUGGGCGGAAGCCUGAACCAGCCAUGCCGCGUGAAGGACUAAGGCCCUACGGGUCGUAAACUUCUUUAGACGCAGAGCAAUAAGGUCCACGUGUGGACCGAUGAGAGUAUGCGUAGAAUAAGCAUCGGCUAACUCCG